rnacentral:rRNA from 1 species
AUGCCCAGCUUGCAAUUAGCGUUAUCUAUUCAAGGUGCUGGCGGGUAAAAAGCUUCGUAGUGAUCUCAGUCUCGAUCGGACCGGUCGCUCCCAUGGGCGGUUACUGUUCGAAAUCGGACAUGGGCCGCGUUUCUCGUGUAUCCUCUCACUGAGGGUACUCGAGGAGCGGCACGUUUACUUUGAAAAAAUUAGAGUGCUCAAAGCAGGCUGUUCGCUGAAUCUUCGUGCAUGGAAUGAUGGAAUAGGGCCUCGGUUCUAUUUUGUUGGUUUCCGGAACUCGAGGUAAUGAUUAAGAGGGACGGACGGGGGCAUUCGUAUUGCGGCGUUAGAGGUGAAAUUCUUAGAUCGUCGCAAGACGAACUACUGCGAAAGCAUUUGCCAAGAAUGUUUUCAUUAAUCAAGAACGAAAGUCAGAGGUUCGAAGGCGAUCAGAUACCGCCCUAGUUCUGACCAUAAACGAUGCUGACUAGCGAUCCGUCGGCGUUAAUCCACAUGACCCGACGGGCAGCUUCCGGGAAACCAAAGUUUUUAUGUUCCGGGGGAAGUAUGCGUUGCAAAACUGGAACUUAAAGGAAUUGGCGGAAGGGCACCACCAGGAGUGGAGCCUGUGGCUUAAUUUGACUCAACACGGGAAAUCUCACCAGGCCCGGACACCGGCAGGAUUGACAGAUUGAGAGCUCUUUCUUGAUUCGGUGGGUGGUGGUGCAUGGCCGUUCUUAGUUGGUGGAGUGAUUUGUCUGGUUAAUUCCGAUAACGAACGAGACCCCGUCCUACUUACUAGAUCACCGAUCCUUUUUGUUGGUGUUUUCUUCUUAGAGGGACAACUGUUUAAAAUGUGAACUCCGUGAAAGGGGGCAAUAACAGGUCUGUGAUGCCUUUAGAUGUUCUGGGCUGCACACGCGCUACACUGAAGGGAUCAUCGUGUUUAGCUUUCUCGAGAGGGAUGGCCAACCCGUUGAAUUCUCUUCGUGCUAGGGAUUGAGGCUUGCAAUUGUUUCUCAUGAACGAGGAAUUCCCAGUAAGUGCAAGUCAUAAGCUUGCGCUGAUUACGUCCCUGCCCUUUGUACACACCGCCCA